rnacentral:rRNA from 1 species
CCUACGGGAGGCAGCAGUGGGGAAUAUUGCGCAAUGGGCGAAAGCCUGACGCAGCGACGCCGCGUGAGGGAUGAAGGUCUUCGGAUCGUUAACCUCUGUCAGCAGGGAAGAACGGUCACUGUGCUAAUCAGCAGUGAAUUGACGGUACCUGCAAAGGACGCACCGGCUAACUCCGUGCCAGCAGCUGCGGUAGUACGGAGGGUGCGAGCGUUAAUCGGAAUUACUGGGCGUAAAGCGCUCGUAGGCGGUAUGUCAAGUCAAGGGUGAAAUCCCCGCGCUCAACGUGGGAACUGCCUUUGAAACUGGCAAACUGGAGUGUGUGAGAGGAUAGUGGAAUUCCAGGUGUAGGGGUGAAAUGCGUAGAGAUCAGGAAGAACACCAGUGGCGAAGGCGACUAUCUGGCACAUAACUGACGCUGAGGAGCGAAAGCGUGGGUAGCAAACAGGAUUAGAUACCCUUGUAGUC